rnacentral:rRNA from 1 species
AACAGUUGGAAACGACUGCUAAUACUGCAUAACACCUACGGGUCAAAGGGGGCUUUUAGCUCUCGCGUGAAGAGAAGCCUAAGCGAGAUUAGCUAGUUGGUGGGGUAAAGGCCUACCAAGGCGACGAUCUCUAGCUGUUCUGAGAGGAAGAUCAGCCACACUGGAACUGAGACACGGUCCAGACUCCUACGGGAGGCAGCAGUGGGGAAUAUUGCACAAUGGGGGCAACCCUGAUGCAGCCAUGCCGCGUGUGUGAAGAAGGCCUUCGGGUUGUAAAGCACUUUCAGUGGUGAAGAAGGGAUAGGUGUUAAUACCAUCUAUCAUUGACGUUAACCACAGAAGAAGCACCGGCUAACUCCGUGCCAGCAGCCGCGGUAAUACGGAGGGUGCGAGCGUUAAUCGGAAUUACUGGGCGUAAAGCGUACCAGGCGGUUUGUCAAGCUAGAUGUGAAAGCCCCGGGCUCAACCUGGGAGAGUCAUUUAGAACUGGCAGACUAGAGUCAUUUAGAGGGGGGUGGAAUUCCAGGUGUAGCGGUGAAAUGCGUAGAGAUCUGGAGGAACAUCGGUGGCGAAGCGACCCCCUGGGAAUAGACUGGCGCUCAUGUACGAAAGCGUGGGUAGCGAACAGGAUUAGAUACCCUGGUAGUCCACGCCG